rnacentral:lncRNA from 1 species
GGAGGGCGGGCGGGGCGGCCCUGGGGACCCGUGAGCUGCUGUGCCGGGAGGACACCUGUUGGAGACUGCGCAGCCUCCAGUGGUUCCAGGGCCUGUGGAAAGGGAAGGAGACAGAGCUCUGGGGCCUGUGGCAUGAAAACCAAGGGUUAUGAACCUUCAACCGACUGAGCCCCCUCACAAGCCACGCUGGUUACAGUAAUUCAUUUGAACUGCCUAAAUAGAAAAGAUCUUUUACUCUCCUCCACACAACCUCCGGAAACUUUCCACACUGUCACAAUCGUUUUGUGACAGUAACCAAAAAUUAAAAUAGGUUUUUUUUUUUCUCUAAAUAUUUAGUCUUAGCACUGGUUGUUAUCCAUUGGUUAGUUAGUUGUUCUAAACAUUUUACCAAAUCAAGGGUAUAAGGGUUACAUACCACCAUAUAGGUGUCAGUUUAUGGAUGGAAAAACCCAGGCUCACAAAAGUUAAGUUACUUUGCUCUGACAAUAAGCUGUAAGUAGAGAGGCAGGAUUUGGACUUUACCAGCUUCAGAUCAACACGCUGCCUUAGAAAGAACCGGUGCCUUUGGCAUGCUGGUUCUGCAUAAUAGAAAAUGCAUGUCACUUUGGAGGCCAGCUGUGAGGAGAAGUCAGCUCACUAGUGCCCUGGAGGGUUGAGACUACACUGUGCCAACCAUAAGAUACUCUGUCUCAGUUUGUAUAUGCAACUUCUGU